UUGGACGAAAAUAUUUGAUUUUGUUGUUAGUUGUGUUCUUAAGGAGGGGCCUCAUGCAUGUCAGGUAGACUUUGUUUAAACUUUCUUUACGUUGUGAUAAAUUAGUCGUAAGUAUUUAUAUCUGUUUAAUGACUUGUUUAAUUUUAUUACCUUCGAGGCUAAGAGGUCUCCGAGGGUUAAAUAUUCUUUUAUUGUUUUUAAUAGGUAAGGGUUAAAGUUACCCAUAUUUUAUAAGUGUGUUACAACUUCUUUCGUGUAUCUUUUGAAUUUUUUAUAAAGGUCAUUAUACAUUAAUUUUUAGGUUGUUUUAAUAGGUAAAUUAGUAAUUUUAAUAUGUGUCUUGUUUCUAGAGAGUUUCCUGUCUGUUUAUUAAAAACAUUUCCACCUGAUAAUGUUUGGUGGUAGUACCUGCUCUAUGCUUUAUUGUAAAUGGCCGCAGUAUUUUGACUGUGCGAAGGUAGCAUAAUUAAUUGCCUUAUAAUUGAAGGCUUGUUUGAAUGGUUUGACAAGGUAAUAUCAAACAUGAUUUAUAUUUGUGAAAUUAAUUAUAGGGGCACAGAAUCCCUUUAAUUUAAUUAGACGGAAAGACCCCGGGAUCUUUUGUUUUUGUCUGGGGCAGAUUGCUGUUUUUUAUAUGUAAAUUAGACCCCCUUGUGGGUGCAUUGAUGUAAGUUACCCCGGGGAUAACAGUGUAAUAGUAUAUUAGAGAUCAUAUCGAAUUUACUGCUUGCCACCUCGAUGUUGACUUAGGUUUAAGCUUAGGCGCAGUAGUUUAAGUGAUUGGUCUGUUCGACCAUAGUUUACCUCCAUGAGUUGAGUUAAGACCGGCGUGA
rnacentral:rRNA from 1 species